rnacentral:lncRNA from 1 species
AUAGAUCCUAAAAUUAACAUGGACAUGCAAAACAACUAAAAUAACUAGAACAAUUUUUGAAAAGGAAGAGCAAAGAGUUGGUGAACUUUCACUUCUCUAUUUCAAAACUUAAUGUAGCUUCAUAGUAAGCAAGACAAUAUGCUACUACCAUAAAGUCAGACACAGAGCUUGGUGGAACAGAACAGAGAUUCCAGGAAUUAAUCCUUAUACUCAACUGAAUUUGGACAAAGGUACAAGGCAAUUGAUUGGAGAAUUGUUCAAAAACAGUUCAACAACUCAUGGAGAUACAGUUAGAAGCUCACAAGUGAAAAAAAAAUGGUUAGAUCCUCAUCGUACACAAAAAUUUGCUCAAGUAUAUCAUAGGUUUAACAUGAAAGCUAAAACAAAAAUUUUACAAGAAAACAGGAGAAAAUCAAGACAUUGAGUUAGGCAAGAUUUCUUAGAUAUGAUACCAAAGCAUGGCCCAUAAAAGAAAAACAUUUCUAUACUUCAUUAAAAUAAGAAAAACUUUUGAAGUUCAAAACAAACCACUCUU